CGCCUUGAAACUCAGCCCCCAUACUGUGAGGGAGCCCGGGCCACAUGUAGGUAUGGUGGUUGACAGUCUCGCUAAAGUCUCAGCUGACCUGUAGCAUCGACCACCAGACAUGUGAGCAAACAAGCUUCAGAUGAUUCCAGCCCCAAACCUCUGAGCUGACCCAGCUGACAGUGAGUGGAACAGAGACAAGCUAGCCCUGCAGAACUCUGACCAAAUUGCAGGCCAGCUACCUGAGGAAGUCCAACUACCCUGAAACCACCAUGCUAUGAGGGCGCCCAAACCUGCCAGGUAGAAAGGUCACGUGGAGAAGCACUGAGGUACCAGACAUGUGAGAAAAGAUGUCUUGGACCUUCCAGCCCAGCCCCGGCACCAACUGAACAUAGGGACCAGCCAACACCCCACGGAACAGAAUUGAACUAGUCAACUCAUGGAAUCUUAAGAAACAAUAAAUUGUUGUUAUUUUAA